CCGGAAACCACAGCCACCUUAAUUUACAGUUUCACCGCAGCCAAUGCCCCAUUCGAUCCAAAACACACUGUUCAUCGCGAUUCUUUUAAAAUAUUUACCCAGCCCAGGGUGCGGGUACCGCAGAAGCGUCUGUUUUCAGAGAUAGGCAAGUUUGCACAGCAUCCCGACCGCGGACUCUGGGGGAGGAAAUGCUACUUGCUUACCCCAGAGCAACACACAACGGAAUCACGUUAGCGCUUUAGAAAAGUUAUGAAAAGAACUCCCCCAAAGAAGUUUUGACCUUUUUACAGCCACCGGCUUUGCCAGAGCCACGGGGAACCCCACCCAGCCAAUAUGCCAAGUACGCAUCCGUGAAGCCGCGCUUCGGGGGAUUCCCAUUCAGGCACCUUCUCCUCCUUGCUCCGCUCCCUUCGUUUCUUUCCCCAAACUUAGCAUCUCCUUCAAAGAAGCCCAGAGCCACGGCCAGCAGCAGCAGCUUAAAGGAGAGCAUCUUCAGCAUCGUCUGCCCAGAGCAGCAGGGGCUGGGCGCGGGAGGAUGGGGGGGAACGCCACUGCCCAGCAGGGGCACUAGGGCGCAGCUCCAGGAGGAGUUUGCGGGGCUGUAGGGCACUCCAGAGACAGAGGGAGGUGGCGGGGACAAAAAUAUGUACAGCGAUGCAACUUUGCAAAAAAUAAAAGACGCGGCGAUGGGUCCAAUGCCUUAGGGGAGCCCGAGGAGCGAGAUAAAGUUGUGCGGAUGACACCGUUUGCAGUUGUGCCAGUGUCAGUUGGGUUGGGGGCUUUCUGCUGCGGCUGGGAAGUGGGAGGAGGAGAAGGAGUUGGAAGAGGAGGAAGAAAAGGAGAGGACAGCCACAGAUGUUCACUUGUCCGUGUAACGGGAGUUGUUUAGGUGGGACAGUAGCAGGAACAGAAACGGCGACGGCGGCGGCGGGGCAGGCGGAGGCAGGGCCAGCGCUGGGCUCUAGAUGAUGCUGAGGUCUCCUCUGCCGGCGGCUGCAGCUUCUCACACAGCCUCUCAUGUUUCGUUCCCUCUUUUCUUCUUCUUUUUAACUAGCGCGCGGGGAGGUGCUGCCACAGCGCGCCCCUUGACGUCACCGCUUCUCGCGCGCCCCCGCCCAGGGUGGAGGGAAGGGGAGGGGGCGGCCCCCGCGCGAGCGCGUCCCCCGGGCCCCGGCGGCCUCCCUGCUGCGGCGGGGAGGGGCGGCUAGCCGCGACGGCGGCGGACGGAGGGGGAGGGCCGCGAGCCUUCGGAGCCAGCCUCGAGGGUGCUGAACCCCGCGCGCCCGCCUCGCCGCGGCCCCCGGGUGGGGGCGUCCACGGCCCGGGUUCCCGGCGGGCUUGGGGCAGGGACGCAGUCCGGAGAUUCCGGGACUGCCCGGCUGCUGCAGCCCGCAGGCUGCUCUCUCCUCCCCGCUUCCCCUCCGCACUGCCUGGGCUAAAGGCGGCCAAGCUGAGGCUCCGAGAGAAAGGGAAAAUUGCAACCCUUGCCUACAACCAGACUGACAGCAUAAUUUCUUAGGAAUCAAGAAUCAAUACAGGGUUAUUUCUUUAGAUUAAACCUUAAAAGCCCCCCUUGGAGGCUGAAGAAGCAGAGGAUAGCCACGCACACACUUGAACGUGAAAAAUGGUCCUCUUUCAUUGGAGAGGUCUCCCUCUUCAGCUAAACCGACAGAGUGGUGAAAAGAAGAAGGGACCCCUUGUUGACCAAAAUAAUCCAGACAAAUCAAAUCGGCCCUUUCCAGCAAGGAGUAGAACAGCCCAAGGGUGGCUAGAUCACAUCUUCUGCUCGCACCACCACUGAGCAACCCUCUCCAGGACUGCCACCUAUGCGCAGGUCAUGCCCUGUGCAAGAGCACCUAAAGUGGGAGCUGAAGUCCUGCCCAGGCUCCAUUCACCAAGCAGAGCUUAUGUUGCUGUGUGUCUGUGUCUACCCAGAGGAUGUGGGUCCUUUUUAAAAUGUGCACCAACGCAUCUUGUAUGAACUGGCACCAGCUCGGACCAUCCCACCCUCAUACCCUGGUCCUAUCCAGGGUUAUAUUCCCUACUUUAGAAGAAUUAAGUAUUCUUAUGAACGUAUUUAGUUUAUUGUAAAAAAUGAAAUAUAUGAAACAAAUUGAAAUUAAUUUCAGAGGUAAAGGUCAGAAUAUUACCAUGUAUGUGAAUUAUGUUUGUAUGUAUUUGUAUAUAUCAAGAGAGUUAUAUGAAUAUACAUUUUUGUGUAUCAGAAGUGAG
rnacentral:lncRNA from 1 species